rnacentral:sRNA from 1 species
CACCGCCUGGGGAGUACGACCGCAAGGUUAAAACUCAAAUGAAUUGACGGGGACCCGCACAGGCAGUGGAGCAUGUGGUUUAAUUCGAAGAUACGCGCAGAACCUUACCAACACUUGACAUGUCUGUCGCGAACCUAAGAGAUUAGGUUCUUCAUUUAGUUGGACAGAACACAGGUGCUGCAUGGCUGUCGUCAGCUCGUGUCGUGAGAUGUUGGGUUAAGUCCCGCAACGAGCGCAACCCUUACUUUUAGUUGCUACCAUUCAGUUGGGCACUCUAAAAGAACUGCCAGUGAUAAGCUGGAGGAAGGUGGGGAUGACGUCAAGUCCUCAUGGCCCUUACGUGUUGGGCUACACACGUGCUACAAUGGUACUUACAAUGAGAUGCUAAGAGGCGACUCUAAGCCAAUCCCAAAAAGGUACCUCAGUUCGGAUUGUACUCUGCAACUCGAGUGCAUGAAGCUGGAAUUGCUAGUAAUCGCGGAUCAGCGCGCCGCGGUGAAUACGUUCCCGGGUCUUGUACACACCGCCCGUCACACCAUGGAAGUUGGUUACACCUUAAGGCAAAAUGUUAACCUUCGGGAAACAUUUGACUACGGUACGAUCAGCGACUGGGGUGAAGUCGUAACAAGGUAGCCGUAGGGGAACCUGCGGCUGGAUCACCUCCUUUCUAAGGAAGUCGAAAAAUAUCAAAACAAUUAUUUUCGAUUUAAAAAAAACCGGUAAUGUGACCGUCCUCAUUUCUCUUCUUUUAAUGUCUCUGAGUAAAAAUAAUGUUAAGGGGCCGGUAGCUCAGGUGGUUAGAGCGCACCCCUGAUAAGGGUGAGGUCGGAAGUUCGAAUCUUCCUCGGCCCACCAAUAAUUUCGGGGGGAUUAGCUCAGCUGGGAGAGCGCCUGAUUUGCAUUCAGGAGGUCAGCGGUUCGAUCCCGCUAUCCUCCACCAACACAUUGAGAUAUUUAGCUUUUUCAAAUUGUGAAUAUUAUUAUCAAUAUCUAUAUCCGAUUGUUUUCAAAAAAAGUAUUUGAAAAUAAUCAAAACAAAAAUUUGAAUUUUACACAGAGAGUUUUUUUCUG